rnacentral:rRNA from 1 species
GACGAACGCUGGCGGCGUGCUUAACACAUGCAAGUCGAACGGAAAGGCCCUGCUUUUGUGGGGUGCUCGAGUGGCGAACGGGUGAGUAACACGUGAGUAACCUGCCCUUGACUUUGGGAUAACUUCAGGAAACUGGGGCUAAUACCGGUUAGGAGCUCCUGCUGCAUGGUGGGGGUUGGAAAGUUUCGGCGGUUGGGGAUGGACUCGCGGCUUAUCAGCUUGUUGGUGGGGUAGUGGCUUACCAAGGCUUUGACGGGUAGCCGGCCGGAGAGGGUGACCGGCCACAUUGGGACUGAGAUACGGCCCAGACUCCUACGGGAGGCAGCAGUGGGGAAUAUUGCACAAUGGGCGGAAGCCUGAUGCAGCAACGCCGCGUGCGGGAUGACGGCCUUCGGGUUGUAAACCGCUUUCGCCUGGGACGAAGCGUGAGUGACGGUAAUGGGUAAAGAAGCACCGGCUAACUACGUG